rnacentral:lncRNA from 1 species
GUGGUUGAAAUAAUAGGCUUUGCUGGAAUAAACAGCAAACUUAGUAUUUGUGGUAUUUGGACCAAAUCCCACACUAUAUAAACGUAUUUCAAGAUGAGCAACCAAAACGCAACCACCAACUUCAUCAGCAGAGUGUGCGUUUUUAGGCACCAACUUCAUCAACAUAUUCUUAAACUCAAUAAUUUUUCUCAACACUUGUUCAAGCAAUUCUUGGAUCUGUCAGAUCAUUUUUAAACUUUAGGAAUGUUUCAUGAUUAUUAACAGGGGGUGUCUUAACUGUGAGGGUGUCUGGGUAAUCUUACAUGAAGAAAUGGUUGUAAAGAUGAAGAAGAAAGAAAAAUGG